rnacentral:tRNA from 1 species
GGUUUCAUAGUGUAGUUGGUUAUCACUCGGGAUUCUGAUUCCCGCGACCCGAGUUCGAGUCUCGGUGAGACCU